ensembl:ncRNA mir-1017 mir-1017 stem loop
GUGAGUUUAGUGGAGUUUAAAGCUUCCCAUCGCCAGCAAUUACGCGAAAGCUCUACCCAAACUCAUCCCCC